rnacentral:rRNA from 1 species
UACGGGGGGAGCAAGCGUUGUUCGGAUUUACUGGGCGUAAAGGGCGCGUAGGCGGCCAGCACAAGUCAGUUGUGAAAUCUCCGAGCUUAACUCGGAAGGGUCAACUGAUACUGUGCGGCUAGAGUGCGGAAGGGGCAACUGGAAUUCUUGGUGUAGCGGUGAAAUGCGUAGAUAUCAAGAGGAACACCUGCGGCGAAGGCGGGUUGCUGGGCCGACACUGACGCUGAGGCGCGAAAGCCAGGGGAGCGCACGGG